CCUACGGUAGGCAGCAGUGGGGAAUAUUGCACACUGGGGGAAACCCUGAUGCAGCGACGCCGCGUGAGUGAAGCAGUAUUUCGGUAUGUAAAGCUCUGUCAGCAGGGAAGAAAAUGACGGUACCUGACCAAGAAGCCCCGGCUAACUACGUGCCAGCAGCCGCGGUAAUACGUAGGGGUCAAGCGUUAUCCGGAUUUACUGGGUGUAAAGGGAGCGUCGACGGCAGGGCAAGUCUGGAGUGAAAGGCGGGGGCUCAACCCGCGGACUGCUCUGGAACCUGCCAGGCUGGAGUGCAGGAGAGGUAAGUGGAAUUCCUAGUGUAGCGGUGAAAUGCGUAGAUAUUAGGAGGAACACCAGUGGCGAAGGCGGCUUACUGGACUGUAACAGACGUUGAGGCUCGAAAGCGUGGGGAGCAAACAGGAUUAGAUACCCCAGUAGUC
rnacentral:rRNA from 1 species